UUGCCAUGAUAGCUUUAGACAGUUGCAGCAAGUUUGUCAGCUGCGAGCUCUUUCAUGGUGUUA
rnacentral:pre_miRNA from 1 species